AUGGAGAAGGAAGGGGGAGGGAAGGAGCAGGGGCACAGGGGAGGUUCGAGCGGCACUUCUUCUGGUGCUGCUCGCCGGCUCCGGCGAGGCUCGCCGGAGCAGCCGAGGGUGGUGCAUGUUGGCGCCGUCGCCGUCCAUGGUGCCGUCGGUGCCUUCAUCGUCAGAGACAGGUGCAGCGAGCAGCGGCACCGCGGGGCCGUCCUAUGGCACUGCACACGGGGCAGCGAUGACCGCGGUGGCGCACACAGCACGGCGGGAGAUGGGGCGCACAGCGAGCAGGAGGAUGACGACGACGACAUGGAGCGGUUGCGGCACAGGCGGGGAGGCCAGCGAAACGUUAUCUUUGACUAG
rnacentral:rRNA from 1 species